UACGUAGGGGGCAAGCGUUGUCCGGAUUUAUUGGGCGUAAAGAGCGUGUAGGCGGCCACACAGGUCAGCUGUGAAAACUCGAGGCUCAACCUCGAGACGUCGGUUGAAACCGUAUGGCUAGAGUCCGGAAGAGGAGAGUGGAAUUCCCGGUGUAGCGGUGAAAUGCGCAGAUAUCGGGAAGAACACCCGUGGCGAAGGCGGCUCACUGGACCAUAACUGACGCUGAUGGCAACGAAAGCUGGGGGAGCAAACAGG
rnacentral:rRNA from 1 species